rnacentral:ncRNA from 1 species
UUCUUCGGGGUUGGGUGUAAUUCCCUACCGGCGGUAUAGUCCGCGACCCGUGCUUAUGCAUGGCUGAUAUGGUGCGAUUCCAUAACCGACAGUAAAGUCUGGAUGAGAGAAGAA